AGAAAACGACUCGUUCAUUGAGCUAGCUAGACGGCGUUUUAGAAUUUGAAACAUUGUUCUCGUCCAUUGCUACGGAAAAUAAUCUAAAAACCGUUAUGCGGAAAAAAGAACUCUCGCACGGCUUCAAUAUUUUCUUCUCUUGCCAGUUUUUACAGUCCAAUAAAGGACGUUUGCUGUCUCUAAUCUCCAUCUCUCCAUCUAUAAUAUUUAUCGCUCUUUUCUUGUUUUCUUGUUCCUUUCGAAAUUUCACUAAGAUCUGAUUUUAUCCUGUCUACCCAUCGCUGUCUUGGGAUUUUUUACAUUCAGUUUUCCGGCGAUAAUUAUGUUUGUAAUACAUUUCGAUCUCCACAGAUCGUUUUUGAAAUAAGUGACAAUCGGUUUUUUUUUCAAUAUUUUAGAUAUUUUUAAGGUUUUUUUUUUUUUUUAAAUGUACAAGCAGUUACUUUAUGAAGUAAAAGUAGUCG